rnacentral:rRNA from 1 species
UGCUUGCACCGGGGAUUAGUGGCGAACGGGUGAGUAACACGUGAGUAACCUGCCCUUGACUCUGGGAUAAGCCUGGGAAACCGGGUCUAAUACCGGAUACGACCUGUCACCGCAUGGUGGUGGGUGGAAAGAUUUUUUGGUUUUGGAUGGACUCGCGGCCUAUCAGCUUGUUGGUGAGGUAAUGGCUCACCAAGGCGACGACGGGUAGCCGGCCUGAGAGGGUGACCGGCCACACUGGGACUGAGACACGGCCCAGACUCCUACGGGAGGCAGCAGUGGGGAAUAUUGCACAAUGGGCGAAAGCCUGAUGCAGCGACGCC